UAUUUCCUAUAAUCCACUUAUUUGCACAAGCCUCAUUUUGCCAUUUCUCCUUCUUCAUCACUCUUUAUUCCUUUUUCAUUCUCUACAAUUUGAGUAGAAAGAAGAGGAAAGAGGGUAAAAUUUAUGCAACAAAAAGGAAAAAGCUCCAGGGGAAGAAGUUAUUAGCAAUACAUUAUGGACCUACUGAGAAUUCUCAUAUUGCUAGCGUUAGGGAGGCAUUGACGCAUUUUGUUGUCUCAUUGAAUGACAAGGAGUGGUUGAAAGAAGAGAGAGAAUCUUGCUAAGGGAGUGAAACAACAAUUUCAAGAGAUGAUGCUUCAGCGCUCAGUGAAUCUACUAAGAGGAUUGUCUGAGGUUUCUUCAACUCAGCCAGUAGAGCUUAAUGUUGCCAAGUGUUAGAAUUUUACUCUCCUCUCCUCAGUUUAGAGUGUCUCCAUCCUUUCUCCAUCUGUCCUCGCUACCAACUGGGCUUCCUGUAUAGAGAUAAAAAUGCUAUGGUGAUUGGGGAUUAUCAUUCUUAGCUAAAGUUCAACUCAUAUUUUUUUGCAUCUGGGAUAAAGUUCUCUCAAAAUUGUAUAGCAAUGAAGGUAUAUUGAGUGAUUGACUUUUACAAGAAGUGCAGUUUCUUUUGUACGAUUGUCCUUGCAUAUUUCAUAUUGUGUAUAACAUAAUAACUGAAAUGAAUGUACAUUGUAUGGAGCUAUUAUGUAAAUAUCUAAUCAGCAUGAUCAUAGGUUUUCUUUA